CGAAGGGGGCUAGCGUUGUUCGGAAUCACUGGGCGUAAAGCGCGCGCAGGUGGUCUUUCAAGUCAGUGGUGAAAGCCCGGAGCUCAACUCCGGAAAUGCCAUUGAAACUGUAAGACUUGAGGAUGAGAGAGGUGAGUGGAAUUCCCAGUGUAGAGGUGAAAUUCGUAGAUAUUGGGAAGAACACCGGUGGCGAAGGCGGCUCACUGGCUCAUAUCUGACGCUCAGGCGCGACAGCGUGGGGAUCAAACAGGAUUAGAUACCCUGGUAGUCCACGCCGUAAACGAUGAAUGCUAGCCGUUGGGCAGCUUGCUGUUCAGUGGCGCAGCUAACGCAUUAAGCAUUCCGCCUGGGGAGUACGGCCGCAAGGUUG
rnacentral:rRNA from 1 species